UCCAUAACUUUCAAGAAAACUUCUCAAAGAAGGUAGAUUAGAGGAGGCUUUUCAUGUGACUGUUAUUUUGCAUAUAAGAUAUUUUACCAUUAGGGAAUGGACACUGGGUUUUUGUUUUUUUUCCUAGUAACUGUUGGGGAUUUAUAAAGAUCUUUUUACCUUAACUCCUGGAGCCCAUUUAGACCAAGGAAAUACCUCCCCAUUAGCAAGGGGAUAAUGCAGUAAGAAGGCCCUUACCAGACCCUGAUACCUCAACGUUGGAUUUCCCAGUCUCCAGAACGGGACCAAGAUCGGAUCUGGAAUGGCUACCCCUGCUGUUUUACCAUAAGCAGAGCAAGCCAAAUGCUAAGAGGACCCUUAAGAUUUCCUAACAAUAGGUAUGCGUGGAAAAGACAGAUGGCUUCCUUUGCACCUGAUAGAUUCCCACUGACUGAACAUCUGUGAGAGGAAUGGAAGGUAUUUACUUUGAGAUUCUGUUUAUACUGGAAGAA
ensembl:lncRNA